GCCUCCAGCUCCGGGGAGAAGACACCCCUUCCCUCUGGGAAGCACGCGGCCACUCCUGACAAAGUGACAACAGGACAACCCCUGGAAUCAACACGAAUGACAGUGGCAGUUAUUUUCAAAAGUCCACAAGGACAGUAUGAGGCCAAGUGCCCAACUACCACGGGUCUGCACACAUGCCUGUCCACGAUUCUUGAAGUCCCUGAAGAACAGAAGUGGCCAUAAUCACAUUUGACCCUUCCUCUCUUCUAUCUUUAUUCCUCACAUAUUGUUUCACUUUUCUUCCUCCUCUAUUCUGCAUGUUUACAAUGAUUUAUUAAAAAUGGGUUAGUAACCACUU